rnacentral:rRNA from 1 species
CGCACAAGCGGUGGAGCAUGUGGUUUAAUUCGAUGCAACGCGAAGAACCUUACCUACUCUUGACAUCCAGAGAAUUUAGCAGAGAUGCUUUAGUGCCUUCGGGAACUCUGAGACAGGUGCUGCAUGGCUGUCGUCAGCUCGUGUUGUGAAAUGUUGGGUUAAGUCCCGCAACGAGCGCAACCCUUAUCCUUUGUUGCCAGCGAUUCGGUCGGGAACUCAAAGGAGACUGCCGGUGAUAAACCGGAGGAAGGUGGGGAUGACGUCAAGUCAUCAUGGCCCUUACGAGUAGGGCUACACACGUGCUACAAUGGCGUAUACAAAGAGAAGCGACCUCGCGAGAGCAAGCGGAACUCAUAAAGUACGUCGUAGUCCGGAUUGGAGUCUGCAACUCGACUCCAUGAAGUCGGAAUCGCUAGUAAUCGUAGAUCAGAAUGCUACGGUGAAUACGUUCCCGGGCCUUGUACACACCGCCCGUCACACCAUGGGAGUGGGUUGCAAAAGAAGUAGGUAGCUUAACCUUCGGGAGGGCGCUUACCACUUUGUGAUUCAUGACUGGGGUGAAGUCGUA